UACAGAGGGGGCGAGCGUUGUUCGGAAUUACUGGGCGUAAAGGGCGCGUAGGCGGCCUCUUAAGUCGAACGUGAAAUCCCCGGGCUCAACCCGGGAACUGCGUCCGAUACUGGGGGGCUUGAAUCCGGGAGAGGGAUGUGGAAUUCCAGGUGUAGCGGUGAAAUGCGCAGAUAUCAGGAAGAACACCCGUGGCUAAGGCGGCUCUCUAGUACGGUACUGACGCUGAGACGCGAAAGCGUGGGGAGCGAACAGG
rnacentral:rRNA from 1 species